rnacentral:tRNA from 2 species
GCCCAGGUGGUGGAAUUGGUAGACACACUAUCUUGAGGGGGUAGCGGCGUAAGCUGUGCGGGUUCGAGUCCCGCCCUGGGCACCA